UACGGGGGGGGCAAGCGUUGUUCGGAAUUACUGGGCGUAAAGCGUAUGCAGGCGGACUUUUAAGUCGGGGGUGAAAUCCCGAGGCUCAACCUCGGAACUGCCUUCGAUACUGGAAGUCUUGAGUCCGGGAGAGGUGAGUGGAACUCCGAGUGUAGAGGUGAAAUUCGUAGAUAUUCGGAAGAACACCAGUGGCGAAGGCGGCUCACUGGCCCGGUACUGACGCUGAGAUACGAAAGCGUGGGGAGCAAACAGG
rnacentral:rRNA from 1 species